GGCUCAGGACGAACGCUGGCGGCGUGCCUAAUACAUGCAAGUCGAGCGGAUCUUGUCCUUCGGGAYAAGGUUAGCGGCGGACGGGUGAGUAACACGUGGGUAACCUGCCCAUAAGACUGGGAUAACAUUCGGAAACGAAUGCUAAUACCGGAUACGCGAAWCGGUCGCAUGGCCGRAUCGGGAAAGGCGGAGCAAUCUGCCACUUAUGGAUGGACCCGCGGCGCAUUAGCUAGUUGGUGGGGUAACGGCUCACCAAGGCGACGAUGCGUAGCCGACCUGAGAGGGUGAUCGGCCACACUGGGACUGAGACACGGCCCAGACUCCUACGGGAGGCAGCAGUAGGGAAUCUUCCGCAAUGGACGAAAGUCUGACGGAGCAACGCCGCGUGAGUGAUGAAGGUUUUCGGAUCGUAAAGCUCUGUUGCCAGGGAAGAACGCUUACGAGAGUAACUGCUCGUAAGGU
rnacentral:rRNA from 1 species